ensembl:lincRNA
ACAGCUUGUUCCUCUGGGAACUGCCCUGCAGUGUCUGCAUACAGCCACCCUCAACCUGUCUGCCUGGUCUUUGCAACCUCUAGUGACUGUUGUUCCACAAUGUGUAGUGAAGAGACCUGAAUGGUUUGCACCAAAACACAAACACAAACCAUUGGGAGAGUGAUUGGUGAAGUGAUGGACAUUUACUCGGGCAAAGGCAUGCAUGUAAAAUAGUCCCUAUCUGGAUGGACCUGCGCCUGUGGCGGGAAGUUCACUGGUCAAUUACCUGCUGACUGAAGUGGCCUAUUUUCUUCUGACCCCCUGCUCCUCUCUUCCCCUCUCCGCCCUGAAAGCUGUUUGGGCAUAGGGAGGUCUUGACCUGAGGAAACCAUCUUGGGUAACCAAGGCAAGGAAAGGGAAUAUGCAACACCUAGGAGAUUUCAGCAAACAGUAGAAUCAUGCCAAUGUAAUCUGUGUUAAAAUGCUUGGAAUGUGGGAGCCGCCGGUGAUGUCUGUUGUCUGUGUGUCUCCAGUAAUCCUUUCUUUUUUAAGUGCAGCAAAGCCAAGCCUGGAAACCAGGCCAAGCGCCUGCCACUUACCUUAAAUUUAUCAGCCACUUUGAGAUUAAAACCCCUGAAAGCUGCUGCACAGUGAAAGCAAGGCCUCCUUCACAUUAAAGGCAAAUCGCAACUCUG